UAAAUUUUUAACAAGUCUGGUCAAACCCUAAAACGCACCGUAUUUACCCGUCACUUCAAAAGGUGCACUUUAGUUUCUGGUGAUCCGAGUUUUGCAUAAACCCUAUCUAUGGUGGGUUCUUCUAGCUCAGGCAUAAUUUGUUUUUGGUAUCAAGGAUGAACACAUGCGCAAGUGCUCCGAGGAAUAUAGGGCGCCUCCAACCUCAUGAAAGUCUUAGCCCAAAGGUUGAGAGCUGCCCUUUGACCCUUUAGCAAAAAUUUCACGUCAAGAUUGAAUAGAAUUGAAUCAUUUGCUAUGGUUGUGAGGAGAGGAACCAUACUAUUGACCUCCCACUUGAUUCUUAACCAAAAAUAAGUGUAUGAUAUACGAAGAUAGUCUCGUUUAAUUCUCGACCAUUGGAUCUCAAGAUCAAAAAUGGUCUAUUGUAGUUA